rnacentral:rRNA from 1 species
CCUACGGGUGGCAGCAGUAGGGAAUAUUGCUCAAUGGGGGAAACCCUGAAGCAGCAACGCCGCGUGGAGGAUGAAGGUUUUCGGAUUGUAAACUCCUUUUGUUAGAGAAGAUAAUGACGGUAUCUAACGAAUAAGCACCGGCUAACUCCGUGCCAGCAGCCGCGGUAAUACGGAGGGUGCAAGCGUUACUCGGAAUCACUGGGCGUAAAGAGCGCGUAGGCGGGAUAGCAAGUCAGAUGUGAAAUCCUAGGGCUUAACCAUAGAACUGCAUUUGAAACUGGUAUUCUAGAGUAUGGGAGAGGUAGGUGGAAUGCUUGGUGUAGGGGUAAAAUCCGUAGAGAUCAAGAGGAAUACGCAUUGCGAAGGCGACCUGCUAGAACAUAACUGACGCUGAUGCGCGAAAGCGUGGGGAGCAAACAGGAUUAGAUACCCGAGUAGUC